UGGGGAAUUGUUCACAAUGGGCGCAAGCCUGAUGACGCAACGCCGCGUGGGGGAUGAAGGUCUUCGGAUCGUAAACCCCUGUCGAAUGGGACGAAAGACUCGCGAGUGAAUACUUCGCGAGAGUGACGGUACCGUUAAAGGAAGCCACGGCUAACUCUGUGCCAGCAGCCGCGGUAAUACAGAGGUGGCAAGCGUUGUUCGGAAUUACUGGGCGUAAAGGGCGCGUAGGCGGCCCUCUAAGUCAGACGUGAAAUCCCCCGGCUUAACCUGGGAACUGCGUCUGAUACUGGAGGGCUUGAGUAUGGGAGAGGGAUGUAGAAUUCCAGGUGUAGCGGUGAAAUGCGUAGAUAUCAAGAGGAACACCUGAGGUGAAGACGGGUUGCUGGGCUGACACUGACGCUGAGGCGCGAAAGCCAGGGGAGCAAACGGGAUUAGAUACCCUGGUAGUCCCUGAGCGGGCUGGCAAGGCGCAU
rnacentral:rRNA from 1 species